rnacentral:misc_RNA from 1 species
UUUCCGUAGGUGAACCUGCGGAAGGAUCAUUAUCGUACAAAAUGUGAGUGGCAUGCGAGGGCUGCCGCUGACCCAAAAGUCGUGCACGCCCGAGUGUGUCCUCUUGCAUAAUAAUCCAUCUCGCCGUUUGUGCAUCACCGCGUGGGCACCCUUCGGGAUCAUCGCGGAGGGGGGCUCGCAUUUUCACACAAACCCCCCUUUUAAAAGUGUAUAAUGACCACAUUUAUGCAAUAAAUACAACUUUCAACAACGGAUCUCUUGGCUCUC